GACGAACGCUGGCGGCGUGCUUAACACAUGCAAGUCGAACGGAAAGGCCCUGCUUUUGUGGGGUGCUCGAGUGGCGAACGGGUGAGUAACACGUGAGUAACCUGCCCUUGACUUUGGGAUAACUUCAGGAAACUGGGGCUAAUACCGGAUAGGAGCUCCUGCUGCAUGGUGGGGGCUGGAAAGUUUCGGCGGUUGGGGAUGGACUCGCGGCUUAUCAGCUUGUUGGUGGGGUAGUGGCUUACCAAGGCUUUGACGGGUAGCCGGCCUGAGAGGGUGACCGGCCACAUUGGGACUGAGAUACGGACCAGACUCCUACGGGAGGCAGCAGUGGGGAAUAUUGCACAAUGGGCGGAAGCCUGAUGCAGCAACGCCGCGUGCGGGAUGACGGCCUUCGGGUUGUAAACCGCUUUCGCCUGUGACGAAGCGUGAGUGACGGUAAUGGGUAAAGAAGCACCGGCUAACUACGUG
rnacentral:rRNA from 1 species